rnacentral:rRNA from 1 species
UACGUAGGGGGCUAGCGUUAUCCGGAAUUACUGGGCGUAAAGGGUGCGUAGGUGGUUUCUUAAGUCAGAGGUGAAAGGCUACGGCUCAACCGUAGUAAGCCUUUGAAACUGGGAGACUUGAGUGCAGGAGAGGAGAGUGGAAUUCCUAGUGUAGCGGUGAAAUGCGUAGAUAUUAGGAGGAACACCAGUUGCGAAGGCGGCUCUCUGGACUGUAACUGACACUGAGGCACGAAAGCGUGGGGAGCAAACAGG